GACGAACGCUGGCGGCGUGCUUAACACAUGCAAGUCGAACGGAAAGGCCCUGCUUUUGUGGGGUGCUCGAGUGGCGAACGGGUGAGUAACACGUGAGUAACCUGCCCUUGACUUUGGGAUAACUUCAGGAAACUGGAGUUAAUACCAGAUAGCAGCUCCCGCUGCAUGGUGGGGGUUGGAACGUUUCGGCGGGUGGGGAUGGACUCGCGGCUUAUCAGCUUGUUGGUGGGGUAGUGGCUUACCAAGGCAUUGACGGGUAGCCGGCCUGAGAGGGUGACCGGCCACAAUGGGACUGAGAUAGGGACCAGACUCCUACGGGGGGCAGCAGUGGGGAAUAUUGCACAAUGGGCGGAAGCCUGAUGCAGCAACGCCGCGUGCGGGAUGACGGCCUUCGGGUUAUAAACCGCUUUCGCCUGAGACGAAGCGUGAGUGACGGUAAUGGGUAAAGAAGCACCGGCUAACUACGUG
rnacentral:rRNA from 1 species